AGUGAACGCUGGCGGUAGGCCUAACACAUGCAAGUCGAACGGCAGCACAGUAAGAGCUUGCUCUUACGGGUGGCGAGUGGCGGACGGGUGAGGAAUACAUCGGAAUCUACUUUUUCGUGGGGGAUAACGUAGGGAAACUUACGCUAAUACCGCAUACGACCUACGGGUGAAAGCAGGGGAUCUUCGGACCUUGCGCGAUUGAAUGAGCCGAUGUCGGAUUAGCUAGUUGGCGGGGUAAAGGCCCACCAAGGCGACGAUCCGCAGCUGGUCUGGGAGGAUGGUCGGCCGCACUGGAACUGAGACACGGUCCAGACUCCUGCGGGAGGCAGCAGUGGGGAAUAUUGGACAAUGGGCGCAAGCCUGAUCCAGCCAUACCGCGUGGGUGAAGAAGGCCUUCGGGUUGUAAAGCCCUUUUGUUGGGAAAGAAAAGCAGCAGGUUAAUACCCAGCUGUUCUGACGGUAACCAAAGAAUAAGCACCGGCUAACUUCGUG
rnacentral:rRNA from 1 species